rnacentral:lncRNA from 1 species
GGUACCUAAAAUUUUAAUCUAAUUAGAAAAAGAUUUAACCUAAGUCCUGAUCAAAUCAGGCCUAAUUCUCCCUUAGCAAUUAGGUCAUCCCAUAACCUAAUUGGGUUCGAUCAAAUUAAAUCCAAUUCAAUUAUACCUAAUCCAGACUUCAAUACUCAAUUAAAUUAAGCUAAUGAGCAAUUUAAUUAUUGAUUAAUCCUCUUAAAUUUUACUAACACUUAGCGAAUAAUGUUAUUGCAACUAUUGAACACAAUUAAUCAUCAAUCAUAUUGAUGAUUUUACCCUCAGACAAUUCUUAAUCGUCAAUUUGCCAAU